UCGGGAAUUUUGUGCAAUGGGCGAAAGCCUGACACAGCAACGCCGCGUGAAGGAUGAAGUCCCUCGGGAUGUAAACUUCGUAAGAAUAGGAAGAAUAAAUGACGGUACUAUUUGUAAGGUCCGGCUAACUACGUGCCAGCAGCCGCGGUAAUACGUAGGGACCAAGCGUUGUUCGGAUUUACUGGGCGUAAAGGGUGCGUAGGCGACAUAUCAAGUCACUUGUGAAAUCUCCGGGCUUAACUCGGAACUGCCAAGUGAUACUGAUGUGCUAGAGUGCAGAAAGGGCAACUGGAAUUCUUGGUGUAGCGGUGAAAUGCGUAGAUAUCAAGAGGAACACCUGAGGCGAAGGCGAGUUGCUAGGCUGACACUGACGCUGAGGUACGAAAGCUAGGGGAGCGAACGGGAUUAGAUACCCUUGUAGUCCCUGAGCGGGCUGGCAAGGCGCAU
rnacentral:rRNA from 1 species